AUUGAACGCUGGCGGCAUGCCUUACACAUGCAAGUCGAACGGUAACAGGUCUUCGGAUGCUGACGAGUGGCGAACGGGUGAGUAAUACAUCGGAACGUGCCCGAUCGUGGGGGAUAACGAAGCGAAAGCUUUGCUAAUACCGCAUAAGAUCUACGGAUGAAAGCAGGGGACCGCAAGGCCUUGCGCGAACGGAGCGGCCGAUGGCAGAUUAGGUAGUUGGUGGGAUAAAAGCUUACCAAGCCGACGAUCUGUAGCUGGUCUGAGAGGACGACCAGCCACACUGGGACUGAGACACGGCCCAGACUCCUACGGGAGGCAGCAGUGGGGAAUUUUGGACAAUGAGCGAAAGCCUGAUCCAGCCAUGCCGCGUGCAGGAUGAAGGCCUUCGGGUUGUAAACUGCUUUUGUACGGAACGAAAAGACUCUUUCUAAUAAAGAGGGUCCAUGACGGUACCGUAAGAAUAAGCACCGGCUAACUACGUGCCAGCCGCCGCAGUAA
rnacentral:rRNA from 1 species